rnacentral:sRNA from 1 species
CGUUGGCUCCAGACAAAUAAACAUGGAGUCCAUCUUCCACGAGAAACAGCCUUCUGGAAAUAUGGAUGACAGUGGUUUUUUCUCUAUUCAGAAAUGAAAGAUCAUUUAUAUGCAAUUAUAAGGAACACUGGUUUACAGUUAGAAAAUUAGGAAAACAGUGGUUUAACUUGAAUUCUCUCUUGACGGGUCCAGAAUUAAUAUCAGAUACAUAUCUUGCACUUUUCUUGGCUCAAUUACAACAGGAAGGUUAUUCUAUAUUUGUUGUUAAGGGUGAUCUGCCAGAUUGCGAAGCUGACCAACUCCUGCAGAUGAUUAGGGUCCAACAGAUGCACCGACCAAAACUUAUUGGAGAAGAAUUAGCACAACUAAAAGAGCAAAGAGUCCAUAAAACAGACCUGGAACGAGUGUUAGAAGCAAAUGAUGGCUCAGGAAUGUUAGACGAAGACGAGGAGGAUUUGCAGAGGGCUCUGGCACUAAGUCGCCAAGAAAUUGACAUGGAAGAUGAGGAAGCAGAUCUCCGCAGGGCUAUUCAGCUAAGUAUGCAAGGUAGUUCCAGAAAUAUAUCUCAAGAUAUUCCACAGACAUCAGGUACAAAUCUUACUUCAGAAGAGCUUCGGAAGAGACGAGAAGCCUACUUUGAAAAGUAAAGUAGUUGACAGCAGCAAAAGCAGCAACAGCAGCCGCAAAAGCAGCAACAGCAGCCGCAACAGCAGCAGCAGCAGCAGCAGGGGGACCUAUCAGGACAGAGUUCACAUCCAUGUGAAAGGCCAACCACCAGUUCAGGAGCACUUGGGAGUGAUC